GGUCAUUCAAAUGACAUUCAGGGGGAGUGUCACCCACAGGAGCCGACCAGCCACGGCUCCACAGGCAGCCGCCCCACACCGUGCCCACGCAGGCCCACCGUGCAGCCCCCGAGUCCCCAGAGUUUUCAGGAACCACUUCCAAAAGACACACCCUUGUGACCGGAGCCACUGGCAAAUACCAGGAUUCUUCAAACCACACUUCCGCACAUCCUUCACUUUAAUUUGUAAAACAAAUGACUGAAUAUAAAAGUCUCCCUGUGACGGGCACAGCAUUAUUCACACAUUUUGUACAAGCGCAGCCCACCUGCUAACCUGCAUGCUGUCGGCAGCACGGCAGGAUUUGGGUACGGGCCUCAUGGUUCACAAAUCGAGGAGGCUCACGGAAGGCGAGUUGCUUGUUAAGCACUUCUGGGACACACUGGGGUCUCUCCCACUCAGGGUGGGGUCCCGGCAGCCCCACUCCUCCGGCAGGUGUGACUGCAGCGGCCACAGGCCUGGCCCUGCUACCUGGACAUCCCACGCUGGCUUGGGACACCUGUGUGAGACCCACGUCCCCAGGGCUCCUGGCUCUGCCCUGGGGUUUCUUACUCUCCGUCUUUGGAGUUAAGUCCCACCGGCUAAGGUUGGGAGGGCGGCCGAAACGCAUCUCCACGUUCCACCCAGAAGCCCGAGCUGGCGGAGGGCGGGGUGCCAAGGUCUCGGGCCGUGGGGACGGGAAGGGGACGGCAAGGGGCCGGCAGUACGCCCAGCGCUGGCAUUUUUGCCCUAGCACCUGGGGCCCAGGUAAGAAUCCACGAUGCUGUGCUCAGUGCAGGCAUUGGCAGCACCCUGAGAAACCUGAGUGUCGGGGGCGGCCAGGCUCACCUGCUGGGUGUGGCCUAGAGGCGCGGCACCAACCUCUGACUUGAGAUUUUCCCCAUCCUCUCCUCCCCAAGCCACCAGCCGCACCAUGGGAUGGGGUGGCCCCGAGUCACGGAGGCCUGGGGUCUCUGCACCUGGCUGAGGGGUACAUGGCAAUUCCCACACCUGUGCACCAGGCCUCACUUAGAGGCACGAGGUGCUGUGACCCCCUCUCCCAGGGAGCCCAGAAGACGGCUCAGCCACACCUGGCACCUGGCGUCUGGCAGACCUGCCUCUAGAAGCCUCAGCUCUGGGCAGCUGUCCCUUCACCUGAGGAGCGGGAACACGGGGAGCGCACUUAGACCCCCGCCCCACCAUGUCCUGCUGGCUCCUAAACUGCCCCCCUACAUGUGGGUUUCGUCUGAGCGUGGGGCAGGCGCCACUCACGGAAAAAAGGCAUCAGAGGAGCUUCGACAUCAUCGGAACAUUUUAUUCCUCGGGACGCUACACGCUCGCUUUCCUGGCGGAGCAGGUCAGUGCACGGAGCUGUGUUUCCACGGAAGAUGUGCACCUCCGGAACUGCGCGACAGCCCCUCAGCAGGGUCCCGCGGUCCGCCGCGACGCGGGCGCAGCAGCAAGUUCCUCCGGCGCGGAGCUGGCCUGCCGGGCCCAGGCACGAGGGGCCAUUCCGCUCCAGCAGUGCCUGCGACUUCCUCCGCAGUCUCGGCGCGAGCGUCCGUCCCCAGCUGCCCUCGGAGCCGUGCCCAGCCUGGCAUGCAUAUGCGGUGGUGAAGGAUACAGUUAAAGGGUCAAUCCCGCGUGUCCACAACAGAGACGCACGCAGCCUCACACGGACUCCUCCGUGGACAGCAGCAGCGGGUUGAUAUACUCGAAGCCUUCGAACUCCGACUGGUCAAUCCUCUUUAUGGUAUCCCUGUGGGCAGGAAGGGUGGGGGGACGGCAGGGGGUGACCGUGUGUUCAUUCCCUCGGGGGAGCAGAGUCACAUUCACCUAAGAUUCCUCCCCCACGCCCACUGGGGAGAUGACGCCAGGAGGGUGUGCGUCAAGGGCGGGCUGGGUCAACAGCUGCCCAAGGUGCGGCCCCUCCAUGGGGCUGCCCGAGGGGUGCUCCAGGGUCCCCGCUUCCCCGCCCCCAGUGGGCCUUACUCGUCGUCCGGGGUCAGCUGCACGGGCUCGCUGGUGAACUGGGUGUCAAAAUUGUCCAGACCGUAGUCGUCCGUGAUCUGUGGCUGGAACGGAGGGAGCGCCUGCUUCUUCUCCAGCUUGGAAAAACAACGUGAGAAGAGUCAGCUCCACGUGGGCAUCACCCCCACCAGAUCCAGUAUUUUGCACGCACUUGAAUCACAAAAUGAAAUAGUAAGAAACUCAGCAUUUCAAUCUGCCCAGCAUUUGAAUGCUAAGUGAUUUUUCUUACAGCACAAAAUAUAGGAAAUACCCAAAGUCAAAAA